GGAGAGGUGGCUGAGUGGCCGAAAGCAGCGGUCUUGAAAACCGCCGACGGGAGACCGUCCGUGGGUUCGAAUCCCACCCUCUCCG
rnacentral:tRNA from 3 species